GGAGAAAUAGCACAACGGACAGUGCGGGGAGUGUACACUAUAAACCUUGACCUUUGAUGUGAGUUCGAUUCUCACUUUCUCCG
rnacentral:tRNA from 1 species